GUACCACGCUUUCGCUCCUCAGCGUCAGUGCCGGCCCAGACCACCGCCUUCGCCACCGGUGUUCCUCCUGAUAUCUGCGCAUUUCACCGCUACACCAGGAAUUCCGUGGUCCCCUACCGGACUCUAGCCAUAGCAGUAUCGAGUGGCGUCUCCAGGUUGAGCCUGGAGGUUUCACACCCGACUUGCCAAGCCGCCUACGAGCUCUUUACGCCCAAUAAAUCCGG
rnacentral:rRNA from 1 species